rnacentral:ncRNA from 2 species
UUUUACCACUAGGGGUGCCUUUGAUUUAAAGGCUGAGAUUAAAGUGAGACUUUGAGACCCUUGGAACCUGAUCUGGUUUACACCAGCGUAGGAAAGUGGACUUUGGGACAU